rnacentral:misc_RNA from 1 species
GAUGAAGAACGCAGCGAAAUGCGAUAAGUAGUGUGAAUUGCAGAAUUCAGUGAAUCAUCGAAUCUUUGAACGCACAUUGCGCCCUUUGAUAUUCCUUAGGGCAUGCCUGUUCGAGCGUCAUUUAAACCUUCAAGCUAAGCUUGGUGUUGGGUGACUGUCCGCUUCACGGCGGACUCGCCUCAAAAUUAUUGGCGGCCGGUACAUUGGCUUCGAGCGCAGCAGAAACGCGAACUCGGGCCCGUCGUAUUGGCUCCCAGAAGCUAUCUUCACAAUUUUGACCUCGGAUCAGGUAGGGAUACCCGCUGAACUUAAGCAUAUCAAAAGCGGAGGA